rnacentral:rRNA from 1 species
GUUUGAUCCUGGCUCAGAUUGAACGCUGGCGGCAUGCCUAACACAUGCAAGUCGAACGGAGGUAGGGGCAACUCUACUUCAGUGGCGGACGGGUGAGGAAUGCGUCGGAAUCUACCCUAUGGUGGGGGAUAACACAGGGAAACUUGUGCUAAUACCGCAUAAUGUCGAGAGACCAAAGCAGGGGACCGCAAGGCCUUGCGCGAUAGGAUGAGCCGACGCCCGAUUAGCUAGUUGGUAGGGUAAUGGCCUACCAAGGCGACGAUCGGUAGCUGGUCUGAGAGGAUGAUCAGCCACACUGGGACUGAGACACGGCCCAGACUCCUACGGGAGGCAGCAGUGGGGAAUAUUGGACAAUGGGCGCAAGCCUGAUCCAGCAAUGCCGCGUGUGUGAAGAAGGCCUGCGGGUUGUAAAGCACUUUUGUUCGGGAAGAAAUCAUGCUGGUUAAUACCUGGUAUGGAUGACGGUACCGAAAGAAUAAGCACCGGCUAACUUCGUGCCAGCA